UACGGAGGGUGCAAGCGUUGUCCGGAUUUAUUGGGUUUAAAGGGUGCGUAGGCGGCUCUGUAAGUCAGCGUUGAAAUAUGGCAGCCUUAACUGUCAGACUGGCAUUGAUACUGCAGGGCUUGAGUGAAGUCGAGGUUGGCGGAAUUGACGGUGUAGCGGUGAAAUGCUUAGAUAUCGUCAAGAACACCUAUAGCGAAGGCAGCUUACUAGGCUGUAACUGACGCUGAGGCACGAAAGUGUGGGGAUCAAACAGG
rnacentral:rRNA from 1 species